rnacentral:tRNA from 2 species
GGAGAGGUGGCUGAGUGGCUGAAAGCGGCACCCUGCUAAGGUGUUAUACCCUUUGGGUAUCGGGGGUUCGAAUCCCUUCCUCUCCG